rnacentral:sRNA from 1 species
GAGGACAAGUAGCUUUCCCAAGGAAGGUCCUGCUUCCUAGAAGAGCUUGGCCCAGAGCCCUGUGCCCAGUGACCCCACUGGCUUUUCCCUCUACUUUCCCCGCCUGGCUGUGCUCCCCUUGAUUCGUGCCUAUUGGCCAUGCCCAUAGUCUCUCCCAAGCUCAGAGUUCACCUCUUUCUCCAGAUCCCCUGAGGUCCCCAAGCCUGACUCAGUGUAUCUGGGGGGUCCCUUCUGAGCCCACGCACCGACCCAGCUCCUCUUCCCUGCAGUUAUGGCCGUGGAGGCUGUGCCCAUGGUGCUCAGUGCCAUGGGCUUCACUGCGGCGGGAAUCGCCUCGUCCUCCAUAGCAGCCAAGAUGAUGUCCGCGGCGGCCAUUGCCAAUGGGGGUGGAGUUGCCUCGGGCAGCCUUGUGGCUACUCUGCAGUCACUGGGAGCAACUAGACUCUCCGGGUUGACCAAAUUCAUCCUGGGCUCCACUGGGUCUGCCAUUGCGGCUGGCAUUGCGAGGUUCUACUAGCUCCCUGCCCCUCGCCCUGCAGAGAAGAGAACCAUGCCAGGGAGAAGGCACUCAGCCAUCCUGACCCAGCGAGGAGCCAACUAUCUCAAAUAUACGUGGGGUGAAAUAUACCAAAUUCUGCACCUCCAGAGGAAAAUAAGAAAUAAAGAUGAACUGUUGCAA